CGGACCGGCGCACGGGUGAGUAACACGUAUGCAACCUGGCCGUCACAGGUGGAUAACCGGAAGAAAUUCCGACUAAUACAGCAUAACACUCCUGAGGGACAUCCUUCGGGAGUCAAAGGAGGCAACUCCGGUGACGGAUGGGCAUGCGGCGCAUUAGGUAGUUGGUAGGGUAACGGCCUACCAAGCCGACGAUGCGUAGGGGUUCUGAGAGGAAGGUCCCCCACACUGGUACUGAGACACGGACCAGACUCCUACGGGAGGCAGCAG
rnacentral:rRNA from 1 species